rnacentral:lncRNA from 1 species
UCUUUACAGGAUGAAAGUCUGGAUCUAGAAGGAGUGCUUACAGCGUAUGACAGCAGUGGCAGUAUCCGGCGAUUCAUGUCUUCGGGGAAGUGGAUAACAGGAGGAAAAAUGUAUAUCGGGGUUGAUGGAAAUUGUCAUGGUUCCACUGACGUCAAAGAGCCAGCUAUCAGUGGCAGGGUUUGCAACACAGGGAGAACAUGGGAACUGUAAACAUAACCCAGGAAUCC